CCUACGGGUGGCAGCAGUCGAGAAUCUUUCACAAUGGGGGAAACCCUGAUGGUGCGACGCCGCGUGGGGGAAUGAAGGUCUUCGGAUUGUAAACCCCUGUCAUGUGGGAGCAAAUUAACAAGAUCGUACCAAAAGAGGACGCGACGGUUAACUCUGUGCCAGCACCCGCGGUAUUGGAGCGGUCUCAAGCGCUGUUCGGAAUAACUGGGGGUAAAGGGGGCGUAGGCGGUUUCGUAGUUGUGUGUGCAAGGCGCGGGCACAACCGGCGGACGGCCCAUGAUACUGUGAGGCUAGAGUAAUGGAGGGGGAAGCGGAAGUCUCGGUGUAGCAGUGAAAUGCGUAGAUAUCGGGAGGAACACUCGUGGCGAAGGCGGGUUCCUGGACAUUAACUGACGUUGAGGCACGAAGGCCAGGGGAGCGAAAGGGAUUAGAUACCCCAGUAGUC
rnacentral:rRNA from 1 species